UGAAUACGAGAUGCUACGGCGUCGAAGCAGUCUAUGUCAUACUUCCAAGAAAAGCUCGCACUGUCAUAAACAAAUAAUGCCUGUACCAUAACCGACACAGGUGGGUAGGUAGAGUAUACUAAGGGGCGCGAGAUAACUCUCUCUAAGGAACUCGGCAAAAUGACUCCGUAACUUCGGGAGAAGGAGUGCCUUAUUUAUAAGGUUGCAAUAACAAGAUCCAAGCAACUGUUUAUCAAAAACACAGGUCUCCGCUAAGUCGUAAGACGAUGUAUGGGGGCUGACGCCUGCCCAGUGCCAGAAGGUUAAAGAAGUUGGUUAGCAUUCGCGAAGCUGAUAACUGAAGCCCUGGUGAACGGCGGCCGUAACGAUAACGGUCCUAAGGUAGCGAAAUUCCUUGUCGGGUAAGUUCCGACCCGCACGAAAGGCGUAAUGAUUUGGAUACUGUCUCGGAGAGGGGCUCGGUGAAAUAGACUUGUCUGUGAAGAUGCGGACUACCUGCACCAGGACAGAAAGACCCUAUGAAGCUUUACUGUAACUUGAGAUUGAAAUUGGACUUUACUUGCGCAGUAUAGGUGGGAGGCGUUGAUAAUAUUCUUGCGGGAUUAUUUGAGCCAUCAGUGAGAUACCACUCUUGUAAUGUUAGAUUUCUAACUUUGUAUCAUUAUCUGGUCAAAGGACAGUUUCAGGCGGGCAGUUUGACUGGGGCGGUCGCCUCCUAAACGGUAACGGAGGCGCACAAAGGUUUCCUCUGAACGGGUAGAAAUCGUAUCUAGAGUGUAAAGGCAUAAGGAAGCUUGACUGUGAGACCUACAAGUCGAGCAGGGACGAAAGUCGGUCUUAGUGAUCUGACGGUGCUGAGUGGAAAGGCCGUCACUCAACGGAUAAAAGUUACUCUAAGGAUAACAGGCUGAUCUCCCCCAAGAGUUCACAUCGACGGGGAGGUUUGGCACCUCGAUGUCGGCUCAUCGCAUCCUGGGGCGGUAGUACGUCCCAAGGGUUGGGCUGUUCGCCCAUGAAAGCGGUACGCGAGCUGGGUUCAGAACGUCGUGAGACAGUUCGGUCCAUAUCCGGUGUAGGCGUUAGAAUAUUGAGAGGAGCCUUCUUUAGUACGAGAGGACCGAGAAGGACAUACCUCUGGUGUACCAGUUAUCGUGCCAACGGUAAACGCUGGGUAGCUAAGUAUGGAGUGGAUAACCGCUGAAAGCAUCUAAGUGGGAAGCCCACCUCAAGAUAAGUAUUCCC
rnacentral:rRNA from 1 species